rnacentral:rRNA from 1 species
CCUACUGGGGGCAGCAGUGGGGAAUAUUGCACAAUGGGGGAAACCCUGAUGCAGCGACGCCGCGUGCGUGAAGACGUAUUUCGGUAUGUAAAGCUCUAUCAGCAGGGAAGAUAAUGACGGUACCUGACUAAGAAGCCCCGGCUAACUACGUGCCAGCAGCCGCGGUAAUACGUAGGGGGCCAGCGUUAUCCGGAUUUACUGGGUGUAAAGGGUGCGUAGGUGGCAGGGCAAGUCAGAGGUGAAAGGCCGGGGCUCAACCCCGGUACUGCAGUUGAAACCGUCCAGCUGGAGUGCCGGGGAGGUAAGCGGAAUUCGUGGUGUAGCGGUGAAAUGCGUAGAUAUUAGGAGGAACACCGGUGGCGAAGGCGGCUUACGGGACUGUAACUGACGCUGAGGCACGAAGGCGUGGGGAGCAAACAGGAUUAGAUACCCUUGUAGUC